GGAGGAGUUAUUGUUGGAAGCCCUACAUCCACACCCAAAUUUGAAGGGGCUGCCAAUAGAGGAUUAUGAGGGAGUGAGUUACCCAAGUUGGAUGAUGGUUGGCGAAAUUGGCUUAUCCCUUCCAAAUCAAGUCCAAAUUUUUAUUUUGGGAUGUGAGGGAUGGAAACAUGUUCCACCAUUUGGUCAACUUCCUUCUCUCCAAUUUCUUAGGGUUGAAGGCAUGGAAUCCUUGGAGUACAUAGACUGCCUCUCUUCAUCAACAUCCUUCCCUUCGCUGAAAGAACUCCGACUCUCUUCAUUGUAUAAUUUGAAGGGAUGGUGGAGGAGCCAAGCAGAAGAAGAAGGAGCAGCCCAACAGCAACAACAGCUUCUAUCAUUCCCAAAUCUCGACAAAAUUGAUAGAUCCAAUUGUUACAUAUGGAAACAUCUUGCACCAUUUGGUCAACUCCAUUCUCUUCAAUUUCUUAGGGUUGCAUGGAUGGAAUCCUUGGAGUACAUAGACAACCGUACUGGCUACGGCUGCCACUCUUCAACAACAUUCUUCCCAUCGCUCAAACAACUCGUAUUCGUUAGAGUUGCCUAAAUUGAAGGGAUGGUGGAGGAGCGAAGCAACACCAACACCAACACCAACACCGGCCCAACACCAACAUCAUCAUCAGCUAAUUUUAUCAACAUCAUUUCCUUCUCUUUCCAAAUCAAUCAUCCAUUUUUGCCCUAAUCUGGAAUCGGUGCCUUUUUUGCAACAAUGUCUUGAAACCCUACAACUGUCCGGGUUCAACGAGAAGCUAGUGCUACAACAGUUAAUGAUGAUGGUGUCCCCAACAAUAGUCGCAACCUCGUCCUCUUCAUCUUCUUUGCUUCUUCGUCUUUCCAAAUUAAAGUCUCUUUCUUUAUAUUCAAUUGAGGAUCUAGUUACUCUGUCUGAGGAGUCGUUUCGAAGCAGCCUCACUUCCCUCCAGGAGAUUGAGAUUUCUGAUUGUCCAAGACUAACCUCUCUGUCAGGAGGACUGCGACAUCUCACCGCCCUCCAUUCCUUGUCUAUCUGCAACUACCAUGAGCUUGAUCUAUUAGAUGAUGACGAUGGCAUGAAAUUUCAAGGCCUAGAUAACCUCACAUAUCUCCUUAUUCACAAUGUUCCAAAGUUGGCAUCUCUUCCUGUGGGGCUAUUUAUUGAACGGUGUAUCAAUUUGAUGGCUUUGCCAAAGUGGAUAGACCACCUCACAUCACUUGAGCGACUUUCCAUUUCCUACUGCCUCGAAUUGACGUCACUGCCAGAGGGAAUGGGUCGGCUCAAUGCAUUACAAAAACUCAAAAUUACAUCAUGCCCUCGAGUUUUACAUGAUAGAUGCCUGAAAGAAAAAGGGGAAGAUUGGCCAAAAUUGCUCACAUCCCAAAUGUUUCUAUUACACUAUUGAAUGACUGCUUAUGUCCACAGCAUCUGGUGCAGUUGGUCAGCUGCUUGGGCAGUUAGCAAAGUUGGUGGGGUGCCAUGUUGUUGGAUAUCUUUAAGGAACUGUCUGAAUGUUUACUUUCUGCAUGUGUUAUGGGCCAUCUUGAUGAGCGCAUUAUCGGAUUAGUUUUACAGUCUUCUUCUUCUUCCUAUUCGUAUUUGUUUAAAUCUAAAAGGGGAGACAUUUUAUUAGCUUAAUUUUUAUUUUAUUUUUCACUAUGAGUCUGUGAACCAACUUGUGAAAUUUUUACAAUUUUCCUACUCUGGUAAGCUUAAAAUUUAAGGAAAAAAAAUGUCAUCUAACAAAAUGAAAAGUGGAACUAUCAUUCUGUUAAUUGUGGAAGAGAAACAAAUUGAUAUGGAAAACUGAUUCAGGGCAGGGGCCAGCACACUUUCCUUAGAACAAUGGUCACUCCACUUUUAAUGGUACGCAUUAGGGGAUGACAAAUUUGCAUAUAAGAUUUAACGAAACUAGGUCAAAUGGAUGAUUAAAGACUAAAGUGUAUGUAUAGCUUUAUAUGUUACUUGCUUGGUUCAGAUUAAGAUCCCUCUUUCAUAUUAGUACAAAGUUUCUACAAAUUUACUGGAAGAAACAGGAUUAGAACCGGCCAAAUGGACGAUUACAAAACUGUGUAUGUAUAGCUUCGUAUGAAAUAUAUGUUUUAAAGCAAUGGAAUGAAAUGUGAACUUUUGAGAAAUCUGUGUAAUGAUGUGAUGACAUUAAAUUGAUUGAUGCUAUUGAAUUGAAUGCAAUGUGAGUUGAUGUUUACUGUGGAUAUUGAUAUUUGAUCAUUUUUCUGCCUCAAUAUUGCAUUAUUAUUGUAUUGCUAUGGAUCAUGAAUGCUUAGCUGAAAUGAUUUCAAAAUAUUGUUCUGGAGCUUGAUUUCAGAAUCCUGUUAUGAUUUCAGAUUUUGCUACUCAUAACAUAUGCCUGUGAUAAAACCCUUGUGAUCACGGGUAAUACAGCAUUGAUGCUUACUCUUUCAUUUCUUCCCUCAGAAUCAAAAUUAUUUCUAGUUUCACCCUCUGUACAAAUUUGAUGUUCGGAAUUCAUGAACUUUCGCAGGUUCUCUCCUCUCUUGGCCUGGUCUCAUUUCCUAUCUCGUAUUCAUUGUUUCUAUCUGAAUUUGCUCCUAUUCUUAUUCCUUCUUCUCUGCAUCUGUUUCGGUUGGAUACUAAGGCCAGUUAUUGAAAUGAAAGGGAAACCCCAGGUCACCGCAUUUGUUGUUUCCUGUAUGCCUUUCUAGAGCAGAGAUCUAAUCUUUUCUCAUCGUAUACACACACGUAUCACAUAUGCGUAUAAAUAUGUGUGUGUUCCUGCUUUGUGGCUUUUCCAUGUUAAAAUCUGGUGUGCAUUUCACUGCUUAAAUGUUGCUUUUACUGUUAUAUUUAUUUUAUAUCUGCAAGCAUUUACUUGUUUGUUUCAAAAGCAAUUUUAACCAGAUUAAAGGUUAAUCAGUAAUUGAAUUUUAAAUUGCUAAAAUGUUUCACCAAGACCCAUUCACACCCCCUCUAGGACGAUCCUUGUGCUUUAUAUUCAAUUGUUACUGUUUCGGUCGAAUCUCCCUUCAAAUAUAACAUUUUAGAGUCAAAUUUUAUUGACUUUACCUUACAAGGAAAUAUCAAGAGGAAGCUCACAUGGUGCUCAAAGUUUUUAAUCGAUAGAAUUCAAGGAUUGCUUUUUAAAAUCAUAGAUAGAAAGGCAGAUGGAUAGAGUUUAAAUUGUUGAAAUGACUCAAACUAUGAAACUACCAGAGGCUUGCAUGAGCAUUCACUUUGAUUGACAUGCUGCAGAUUCUUAAACUUGUAUAUAUGAAUUUUCAUGGUGAAAAUAUUGCAGGUGAUAACUGGGUAUGGAGUACCAAAAGUACUUUUGGAUUCAGGACACCCGAACUUCAAGAAGGGUGACUUGGUUUGGGGGACAACUGGAUGGGAAGAGUACAGUCUCAUUUUUGCACCCGAUUCCCUUUUCAAAAUUGAACGUAUUAAUGAUGUACCUCUCUCAAACUAUACGGGAAUUCUGGGUAUUCCCGAAAUGGCUGCUUAUGCUGGUUUUUAUGAGAUUUGUACUCCUAAAAAGGGUGAAUAUGUAUGUCUCUGCAGCAUAUGGUGCAAUUGGUCAGCUGGUUGGGCAGUUUGCUAAGUUGAUGGGGUGCCAUGUCGUUGAAAGUGCUGGAAGUAAAGAAAAUGCGAGUCCUAUCUCAGUAGCGUUUCAUAUUUUUCAUUACCAUUUCUUGGUGGAUGCUUGUUGGAUAUCUUCAAGCAUCUGGUGCAAUUGGUCAGCUUGUUGGGCAGUUUGCAAAGUUGACGGGGUGCCAUGUUGUUCGAAGUGCUGGAAGUAAAGAAAACACGGUCCUAUCUUAGUAGCAUUGCAUCUUUUUCACCAGCCCUCGUCCUGUCAUGUAUAUUAUAUAGUCAUUCAUUUACAACUGGAAUUUAAUGCUCUAGUCUGUUGUUUUUUCCCCACUCUAAAUUGUCCUUGAAUCGUUUUUUCCUGUAUUAAUUUAAUUUCUUACUAGAAUGUCUUUGCCACUGGUAUCUAACAUUCCUCAAUGAAUAAUUUCAAAACCGUAUAUAAUUUAGAUAUGCAA